ensembl:misc_RNA Y_RNA Y RNA
AGUCAGUCAAACAGAGGAAAUUCCAUAUAAAGAGUGAUUCAAUUUCUUAUUAACAUUAGUGUCACUAAAGUUGGUAUACCACCCCCCACUGCUAAAUUUGACUGGCUUUAA